ACGCAUGUACUUUUCAAUGGAUAAACCUCUUUACAGGGCUCUAUGAAAUGUCCCGUGCCUCCAUCCAGCCCCACAACCCUGGAGGCCAAGGUUGAUGACCUGCGAUUUAAAGUGGAGCAGCUCCUCUUGAGCCCAGGGAGAAGUUGCCCCAUAUGUGGGACCUGUGUUCAGCACAGCACACUGCAGGAGACUGUGACCAGCCAGUUCCACUUCGGGAUUCCCCUGAAGUCCUGGAGAUGAGAACAGCUCUGGAGGAACUUGCAUGUGGACAUAGCACUAAAUGAGAUCCAGGUCAUGAACCAGCUCAGUCACCCCAAUAUCCUCCAACUUUUUGAAGCCUUUGAGGUCAAGAAUCAAGUUGUGCCGAUACUGGAGUAUUGGUGUGGAGGGAGGUGAGUUGUUUGAGAGAAUCGUGGGUGAGAGCUGUCCGCUGACUGAGGUGGAUGCCAUUGUGUUUGUGAAACAGAUCUGUGAGGGUGUCCAGUACAUGCAACAGAUGUACGUGCUUCACCUGGACAUCAAGAUAUGUGGACUUUGGGAGUCAUCACAUGCUAUAAAUCACAUUAACACACACCAGAACAUGUAAUUCACAAUUACAUAAUCAUUUGAACAAAUGUCUAUAUUUGAAUUUAAAAUUCACUGUACCACUCUAAAAGAGUCAUAAGCAGGCCUUGAUUACAAAUUCAAUUAUUUUUAUAAGAGAUUUCAUACAAAUUAGUCACAAAGAUUGACUAACAGUUGUGAUGUCCGGUAAAUGUACUGGGAGUGAAUCCAAAAACAUCAAACAAGGCAGUAAAACAG
ensembl:lncRNA